GGAGGAUUGCGCAACUGAAACCAUCGACGUCUCAAGGCGAACUGCUUUCACCCGGCCCUACGACGCCAGACGACUCUUCAUUUUUCUUUUUCUUUUUCUUCUUACAUUCGACUUCGUUCUCUGAGCUCUUAAAGUCAACGGAAUACUACGUCAGCUGACUUGGAAGAGCCCAUUAGCACGCGGUGCUAAACUUGGCCUUUUCCCUCAAUAGCGGGAGGGAAGCGAGGGGAAACGUUGUGAUAACAGAGUAGCAAAAACAUAGUGAGACCAAGAAACUUUUUGAAAGGAGAACCAAUUUCAAUGCCUUCAAACCAUCCAUCAAGAGAAUGACAGGAACCUGGAGGCUGGAUUUCUGUUAACUGGCAUACGGAUGCUAUAGGGGACUGGGCAAAACUGUUGAGUAUUCCUAAUCAAAAUGCAAAGAUACCUAUGGCCUAACCUGAAGGUAAACACAGGUUUUAAAUAUUACAGGCCUACCACCUGUUAUUCAAUGCUGCAUCAAACAACAACGGCCAUAGAGAAACACUAAUAAAAGUGUUAAUUCUAAAUUAA